rnacentral:misc_RNA from 1 species
UAUUUUUUAUCUAGAAUGCAGGCCUGGCAGCUGACAUCGCGAAGGUCCAGGCUCUGUAAUAUCGACAUUUCUAGUAUUAAACUGGUAAAUUGUUUUCUGAGGCCAUCAGUUGAUUCAGGUUAUAUAAAAUAUGACAAAUGUCAAAUUACCAUUGAAGACAAAAAAAUGCGAUAUGAAUUUGAUGAAAUAUUUGGGCCUGAAACUUCACAGAGCAGCUUUUAUGAUGCUGCUGUGGCACCAUUUGUAAAGGAUGCUUUAGAAGGCUUCAAUUGUACCUUCAUCACCUAUGGACAAAGCAAGAGUGGAAAGGCUUACACACUGGAUGGCACUUCACCUAUAAAUCUUUUCUCCAUAACAAAUGAGUGCAAGAGUGGAAUAAUUCCAAGGACUUGUAACGAUGUACUGAAAACUCUCUACUGUUCAGGAAAUAUUGAUUUUAUGGUCAAAAUAUCAUAUUUUGCAAUAUGCAAAGAAAAGAUUGUCGACCUCUUGGCUGAUAGUUUCACUGAAAAGAAACUGAAAAUUUGUGAAGGAUCUAAAGGAGAAAUGUAUGUUCAAAAUUUGAAAGAGGUUGUGGUAAAAAACAUCCCUGAAUUCAACAGAGUCCUAAAAGAGGGCAAUAAAAAAAUGUACACUUCAUUAAAUAAACAAUCAAGUUUCUUCCACUCUGUUUUUACAUUAAAGGUUAUUGUAAAUAAUAACAUGUCUAAUACAUGUAAAAUUGGUAAAAUAACUUUUGUUAAAUUGGCUGGAUCAAACCCUACAUCAUUUUCUGGAGUUACCAGUGGUACUGAGUCGCAGAAUGAAAAUUUAGAAAAGUCACUGUCAACUCUAAGCCGUGUUAUCACACAUUUGGCCAAUGGAACUGCAUACAUCCCUUUCAGGAAUUCAAAUUUAACUCACUAUCUGAAAAGUUCGAUUCAAGGAAACACAAAAACAGUUCUGAUCGCCACUUUGUCUGCUGCUCACAAGGAUGUUGAUGAAACACUUAAAACUCUCAAUUUUGCAACUCUAGCAAAGAGUUUGAUAAACUUUGUUUUUGCAAAUAUUUUAAGAAGCGAUGAAUUAAAGGCACAGAGAAUUUACUAUGAGCGUGAAGUACGUAAAGAGUAUGUAGAACUAAAGUCAACUAACCCAACACUCUUUAAUGAAAAAUUGAAAAGAGAAUUGGCACAAAAGCACCAAGAUGAAAAGGAAGUUCAGGACUAUCUAAACAAACUAAAGGAAAAGAACUACUUUCGAAUUCAAGCUCAACAAAAGCUGAGAAAUGAGAAACAAAUAAAACUUAAAAUGGACUAUGCAAAUAUGAAAGUGGAAAUUGAUAAAUUAAGGAAAGAAAUUACAGAAUAUGAACAUUCGUUUAGAUCUUUUGAAAAUAAUCUCACCAUUAUGAAAGAGGGGAUAAUGGAUACAUUGUGGAAAACUUAUGUACAUAAUUCUUUAGAGAUUAUCAGCAACACAAACAACUUAAAAACUAAUGUACAAGAGAAACAGGGAUUAGAAAAACGACAACUACAAAAAAAUUCUUGUUCAAGCAAAUUCAAUACACAAGUUAAGAAGUUUGUGCAUAUAGAAACAGAAAUAGAGUUCAUGAAUACAAAAAUGAUAUACAAGGUGUCAUGAAAUCAUUUGAAAGAGAUUUCAACUUAUUGCAGACUAACUUCAUGACAAAGAAAAAUACUAAUAUCAAUUUUCGUGAUCAUGUGAGUUUGCUGAUAUCGAUUUUAAAGGAGAAUGUUAAACAAACAAAGAUAAGUUCCUGCUAGUAAAUUUUA